rnacentral:ncRNA from 2 species
AAACCGAUGGAAAACUAGGAAAUGCGUCCUAUAUAUGGGCACCUGGGACGUGUGGAGUAAGUGGUGCAACCGGCCUAAUUAAUG